GUCCUCGCUGUACUCCAUACUGUUGCUCAGUUAGCUUAGCUACUUCAAAUCCAGCUAUGAUGAUUCGCCGAACGAAGCACGUGACGGACAAUGACCCAACACAGCUCCACGUUGUGUAAGGGCUGUUUGACCAAGAAGGAGAGUGAUGGAGUGCUGCAUCAGAUGACCUGGCCUCCACAAUCACCUGACCUCAACCCGAUUGAGAUGGUUUGGGUUGAGUUGGACCGCAAAGUGAAGGAAAAGCAGCCAACAAGUGCUCAGCAUAUGUGGGAACUCCUUCAAGACUGUUGGAAAAGCAUUCCAGAUGAAGCUGGUUGAGAGAAUGCCAAGAUUGUGCAGAGCUGUCAUCAAGGCGAAGUGUGGCCACCUUGAAUAAUCUAAAAUCUAAAAUAUAUUUUGAUUUGUUUAACACUUUUUGCUUACUACGGGAUUCCAUAUGUGUUAAUUCAUAGUAUUGAUGUCUUCACUAUUACUUUACAAUGUAGAAAAUAGUAAAAAUAAAGAAAAUCCCUUGAAUGAG